AGCCUGGAAUCAAAAGGGGAAGUGGAGUUCUACGUGUGUACCCUCGAGAAAAACGUGAUCAUCAAGAAGAACAUGGUGUCAAUCUCAAAGGAGAAGAAGAAAGAGCACCAGCGGGUGUUCACACCUUCAGUGAUUGAACCAUCUUUCGGGAUUGGUCGGAUCAUAUAUUGUCUGUACGAGCAUUGCUUCAGCACAAGGCCAAGCAAGGCAGGGGACGAGCAGUUGAACGUGUUCCGUUUCCCUCCUCUUGUGGCUCCCAUCAAGUGCACGGUUUUCCCGCUUGUUCAGAACCAACAGUUCGAGGAAGCAACCAAAGUGAUCUCUAAGGAACUCACUUCUGUUGGCAUCUCCCAUAAGAUUGACAUCACUGGUAAGUAAAAAUCAGUUCUGAAAAAGAUUGGAAGUUGUAUAGAAUCUCGAAACUAACUGAAGAUAUGUGUGGGUUGGAUGUGAACAGGUACAUCGAUAGGGAAAAGAUAUGCGAGAACUGAUGAGCUGGGAGUGCCAUUUGCAAUAACAGUGGACUCGGAUACAUCAGUGACGAUCAGAGAAAGAGACAGCAAAGACCAAGUCAGAGUUAGCUUGGAGGAGGCAGCCUCUGUGGUGAGCUCAGUCGCGGAGGGGAAGAUGACAUGGCAAGACGUCUGGGCUAGGUUCCCUCACCACUCUUCUGCUACUGCAGACGAGUAGCUUUAGCUCCUCCCACCAAAUGUUUCUUAUAGUUUUCUUUUGUUUUGUGAAAAUCGUUUGUUGGAUCUGCCCAUUUUGAUGUUUUUUUUAUACUGCCUCGGAAUAUAUUUCGAUACCAGAUUUGUAGAAACAUAAGUUACUUAACUGGUUAAACGUAUCAAAGAGAUGUGAUAGUCUGAGCCCAGAGUACCCCAUCAUAUUUAAAACCUCGACUCGUAUACAUCAUUGUAUUGAAGCAGGGAACAUAGUGGAAGUUGAUUGUCCAUACAAAGGGAAAGUUCAAUUUAAAGUGUGUACCCUCGGGAAAAACAUGAUCAUCAAGGAAGAACAUGGUGUCAAUCUCAAUGGAGAAGGUGAAAGAGGACCCAAUGGGUUUUCACUCUGUCAGUAAGUGGACCAUCGUUUAAAAUUGGUCGAAUCAUAUUUAUAUUGUCGGUCGUUGUAGCAAAAUCAGAAGACGAACUUUUGAACGUUUUUCCUUAAACAAUAAGUCAACAACGUUUGCUUUUCUAAGUGAACAACCAAAAAUGGCAGAGACUUGAUCUAAAGACAAAUUAAUCAAGAAUUUUAAAACACAGUCACCUUCACGAAGCAUAACUAUUUUCUGAACUAAUUAAAGUCCAAAUAAUUAGUAGGUUGUCUUGUGUGUGAAAUAUAUACACAUACAUGUAUAGUAAAUAUAUCUACCUAUAUAAAUGUAUUCAUAAAUGCAUCAUAUUAUACCCACCACAUAUAUGACCCAAAUAAGUAUUUCGAUAUCUCUCUCUGUCUCUUUCAAGAUUCGUGUUUCAAAAGCAUUGAAGGAACAAUGUCUUGAAGAAGACCAUAGCCAACAACUUCUCGUAGAUUACUAGAGUUAAGACGACUAUGUUCGUACGGUACAGAUCCCACCGACUGAUAAUUGACCGGAGGAUGAUUCAUCAUAAGAAACUCUUGAUGGUGACGUGGGAAGCUACGGAGCAGACCAUUUUCACGGUUACCUAAUAGAUGUUCCGCGACGACAGGACCUCUCAAACUCGAUGGGAUCGGAUGAUUGUGUUUGCCUUCGUAGGUUGUGAUUACGAUCGAGGGAUCUUGAAACGAUCUCUCUACGCGUUUCUUCACGUUACAUAUUUGCGUUGUGCACCUAUAGUAACUCCUGAAAACGCAUACAUAACUCUUGCAUUCAUAUUAUUUAUAUAUACUUCUAUAUAAAUGAACAAGUAAAAUAUUUAAAUUGGGAUGUAGUGAGGAAGUGAACCUUGGAUAAGGGCUGUCCUUGACGGCUUUUUGUCCGUAUUUUCUCCAUCUAUAACCAUCUUCAAGAUGAUCAAUGUCGCUUUUGGUCAUAAAAGCAACCCUAGCUUCUCUUUCCUUCUUCUCUCCUUUUCCUUUACCUUGUUUUGUCCUAACCAUACUCAUCAUCCACAAAGCAUAUUAGUCUCUAGGGUUUCAAAGGUUAAACAACUAUAAUAAUUUUUAGCGUGUCUGACGGAUUGUUUUUUGGACUCAUAAUCCACCCUUAGUUCACAUUUGAUAGGUGAAAUGAAAGAAGAAAAAAACUCACAACUGCUUGGAGCUUUCACCAACACCACGUUGGUCUCCUUCAUUAUCCUCCAUUGAGAUCUUAUCUCCGAGGCUUUCUUUAGGGUCGGCUUCAUUGGAGGAAGAAGGGACUAUUGGAGAAUACGGAUUGAGGUUUAAGUAAGGGUAAUUCGCUAUUUGUCCCAUACUGGACGGUGAAAUCGGUUGGAAAGGGGAACUAUUAUUGAAGACUUUUUCUAGUGAGUUAUAAUCCAUUACUAAUGAACUUUUUAAGCAAUUGGUUAAGCUUGUGAAAGAUUUUUCCUCGAAAGAAGUGUUCUUGUGAUCAGCCAUUAGUUGAAGACGAGGAGAAGGAAGAGGAAGAUCAAUCUCAAAGGAGAAGAAGAAAGAGCACCAGCGGGUGUUCACACCUUCAGUGAUUGAACCAUCUUUCGGGAUUGGUCGGAUCAUAUAUUGUCUGUACGAGCAUUGCUUCAGCACAAGGCCAAGCAAGGCAGGGGACGAGCAGUUGAACGUUUUCCGUUUCCCUCCUCUUGUGGCUCCCAUCAAGUGCACGGUUUUCCCGCUUGUUCAGAACCAACAGUUCGAGGAAGCAACCAAAGUGAUCUCUAAGGAACUCACUUCUGUUGGCAUCUCCCAUAAGAUUGACAUCACUGGUAAGUAAAAAUCAGUUCUGAAAAAGAUUGGAAGUUGUAUAGAAUCUCGAAACUAACUGAAGAUAUGUGUGGGUUGGAUGUGAACAGGUACAUCGAUAGGGAAAAGAUAUGCGAGAACUGAUGAGCUGGGAGUGCCAUUUGCAAUAACAGUGGACUCGGAUACAUCAGUGACGAUCAGAGAAAGAGACAGCAAAGACCAAGUCAGAGUUAGCUUGGAGGAGGCAGCCUCUGUGGUGAGCUCAGUCGCGGAGGGGAAGAUGACAUGGCAAGACGUCUGGGCUAGGUUCCCUCACCACUCUUCUGCUACUGCAGACGAGUAGCUUUAGCUCCUCCCACCAAAUGUUUCUUAUAGUUUUCUUUUGUUUUGUGAAAAUCGUUUGUUGGAUCUGCCCAUUUUGAUGUUUUUUUUAUACUGCCUCGGAAUAUAUUUCGAUACCAGAUUUGUAGAAACAUAAGUUACUUAACUGGUUAAACGUAUCAAAGAGAUGUGAUAGUCUGAGCCCAGAGUACCCCAUCAUAUUUAAAAC
rnacentral:lncRNA from 1 species